rnacentral:rRNA from 1 species
CACGUAGGCACCGAGCGUUGUCCGGAUUUAUUGGGCGUAAAGAGCUCGUAGGCGGUUUGUCGCGUCUGCUGUGAAAACUGGAGGCUCAACCUCCAGCCUGCAGUGGGUACGGGCAGACUAGAGUGCGGUAGGGGAGAUUGGAAUUCCUGGUGUAGCGGUGGAAUGCGCAGAUAUCAGGAGGAACACCGAUGGCGAAGGCAGAUCUCUGGGCCGUAACUGACGCUGAGGAGCGAAAGCGUGGGGAGCGAACGG